ensembl:lncRNA
CCAGUGACCUGAAUGCCAAAGCAUGAAAUUUCAUCAGGAAGAGAGACACAUGAUAAUGGGACAGCCUGGGGAAGCUUCAAUUGUCAUUGUUAAUGCAACACCUGUUCUAGAAGUAAAAUAUAUUUAUACUCUAUCCUCAGCAGCUGUCAAUGCUAGUUCUUUCAGGAACACUAAUUUUAACCUCAGAAACUGACAAAUGAUUUUAUACCUGGCAGGAAGAGCGAAACAGUCAAUAAAACCUAACUGAAUAAGAAAUCACAAAAUAUCUGAGAUGAAGAACAUGUUUUUAAUUUCUUACCUCUUUCUCACCUCAGUGCCUGUCUGUGAUGGAUGAUGUGAAGGAAGGAUCCUCACUAAACUCUUGAGAGGAACAAAUACCUACAGUCCAGACAAGAAGUCUGAAUAAACUGGUACAGUGAGUGUAAAGUCCACCAGGUAAUCUGCAUGUGUAGAUUAUGCCUUGUAUUAUAAAGUAUUUCUAUCAUUCUAAAGUACUCAUCCCUAAAAGCUGUACUAAAUUUUAACAGUUCAUCACAGUUGCAAAUCAAUAUUUGAAGUGCUGGGAUGGUUUCUGCUACCAAAUAAGUUUUUAUCUGUGAAAUAAAAAUAUGUUUUAAGAAGCCUAUAAAUAUGGGCUUUCUUUGCCUUUCAAGGUUAUGAGAUUUAUCUUAAUAUAAAUUGCAGGUUUGCAGGAGUGAUAUACAGUAGCUUACUACAAUUAGGUGAAGCUACCAGUAUUCCAGAGACCUGACUGUUUGUAUUACGUGAGUCCUUUUUGUGAAAAGAUAAAAAGAACAAUAUAACAUGUAAUGUAUCAGGGGGGAAAAAAAAUGCAGCACUAUACAUUUUUCCAGCACUUCAAAAUAAAUGCAUACUAUUUCAUAUUUCAGAGUGAUAUAUAGUGACCAUCUGUGGGAAGAAGUAUAUGUAGCAAAAGUUAUUCAAACUAUUAUUCACUGAGAAUUCACAAGCACUUCAUCUUUUUACUUAUUGUACUCUUAGAUGAAUGUUAAAAAUGGUCUGCAUGCUCAAUAACAUUUCUCAUCCAGCAACCUCAGUGUGUAUGCUGCAAAGAUGAAUGGAUAAGGUGUUUAGAGUUAAUGAUCUGUAUCAUAUUGUAUCAAUUUAGCUAAAGAUAUAUAAUCUAAAGUAGUUUCAUUUAUGUUGACUCUUACUCAAGAGCUACAUUUUUGAAAGGCCAUCAUGCUAUCCUGACAAGUUAGAAGAUGAAAAUAAAUCAGACAAUAAACACAACUUCCUGUCUUUUAGAUAAACUCUACAAAAAAUAUUUGAUAGCUUUACAACUUAUAUUUUACCAUUAUAUUACGGUUAUACAUCACCAAUAUACAGUCACAUUGCCUUUUAUCACUUCAGCUUUACUUCUAUUCUGGAAACACUUGUAUCUCAUUACCUUUUUGCUAGCAUACACAGAUAUUUUGUAUCUGAGCAUGCAUGCAUAUGCAUAUUCCAAAUAAAAACAUCUUAUUUCAAUUACUUCUAUGCAUUCCUAUAAACUGUGUCUUUUUAUGUACAUAAAAUGAGAUUCACCUCAAAAUAAUGGCUACCAAUGAGACAGGAAGUAAUUCUAAAUAAAAUAACCAUAACAAGUCUCAGAUAGUACUAGAUGUGGCCUUUAUAACAUGAAUAAAUUAGUAUGUUACCUGAACUCAGUGUUGUUUACCAUAUCUUGUUAAUGCUACCUUUUGGAAUUAACGUUGUACCUGAAAUCAACUAAGAAAAAGUUACAAGUAACUGAAUUUGCUUAAUUUUUAGCUACGCUGGGUCAACACAACUGGGCUGAACAUGCCAUACUGAGUUCAAAUUUCACCAAAUAUCAAAGAAUGCUGGAAAGUUGGGAGUGAUUUUCAUUUUCUGACUUCUGUACUUUCUCAUUUAUUUUUAUCAUCUGUAAAAUAAUCUCUAAUCACCGAUUCACUAACCCUAAUUGGGCAUUUUAAGGGCAGACUGACCUGUCUAGCGUAAUCAAUUUCUGGUUUAAAUAUAUGCCGUCUUUUACAACUAAUGAACUGAUCUCAACAAACCAUGGUAGAACAUUUAAAUACUAAAGCAUUUAAAAUUACAAUGAAACAAAUUUCAGCUGCUGAGCAUGUGAACACCAAAAUAACACCAAGCAGUGUAAAACAAGCCAGCUAAUGAUACAGAAAGAGCAUAAGUAGUGAAAAAUUAUAGACUGCAGUAAAGACAGUACCUGCAAAGAACUGUAAAGCAUCUUAUGAUACAAAGUGAUUGAGAAAUAAAGUGCAAUGUUACACCAAUACUUUUAUGUUACAGUAGAGUAAAUUAUAUUUGAUUUAUAUUCUACUAAAAACACUGGGUGUGGUAUGUUCAGUUAUGUUUAUGCUAUUUUAAAAAUAUUUCAUAAAAUGCUACAGUUUUAUACUUCUGCGAUUUGAUUAAAACCCUGGUGAAUAACUGUAGGACAAUGAGGAUGUAAGGAGAGGGAGACACUUGCACUGCCAGAAGUUCAGACUAUGACUUUGUUUUGUAGUGAUUAGCUCUGGAGCACUCACUUAAUAUUAGGUUAGAACUUCUAUCUGUUCACAGUGAAAUCAAUCUAGAAAACAGCUGACAAGCAGCAAAGAAGAAAAGUAGUAAAAUGAGAAAAUCUAUAUGCUGAUUUCUGAGCUUAUACACAUAGAACCACUAGCAAUUCAUAUUAAAAUUUUAUCAUGCACAGACAUCCUUAAUAUUACUUACAUGUGUUACAGAUGAGGGAGAGAAGAAAGAAAUUUAAUUUGCCCACAGCAGAAGGAGAAUUCAAAAGCAUAAAUAUAUAUGUAUAUUUUUACUAAAAAUCUUGAUAUAAAACAAAAUGAAAUAUUUAUAACUAUAUUACCUCUAUGUUUUUUUUUUGUCUGCAGGUUUUUUUUUUUUUUUUUUUUUUUUUGCAAGAAAUAUUAUACCAAGGAAUAUAUCCAUAUUGCAUAGUCUAGUCUAUACUAGUCUACCACUACAACUGCUGGCUAAUUUUAUCUGAAUGCUACUCCAUCAUCAUACUGGCUCAAUAACAAUUAUAUACAUAAGCACAGCUGUUGGGUGUCAUCUAGACUACUCUCAACUUAUGUUCAUUGACUUUUUUUGGUGUCAAAUAUUGUUCUAUACCACUGCAGCUCCCUCCAUGAAAUAUUAUAGUCGAAUCAUCACUGGCUUUCUGCUCCUUCUAUUUCUAAUUUUAACUUCAGCUUUAACAUUUUGUUGUUUUUUCACAUAGAAAAAUAGACUAAACAAAGAUCACAAGUCUUCUUCUUGCAAAGACUUUUGGAAUUGACAAUUCCACUCACCCCAGACUAACUUACCACCCCUUCUCCUCUUGAACUGGUAUUGUUGUUAUCUCCUCAUCUGUGGUCAUGACAUCUGCAACCUUGUGCUUCAAAACCUACUAUAGGUAUUCAACAGAUCAUCUUCUUGCAUGCUUAUAUAACACAGUUUAUAUAGCCCUCUAUACCCCUCAAUCUUUGUUUUCUACUGCACGAAAAAAAUGUUCCUGGUUCUUAUUACAGUAUUUCUCAAUGCUGGUCUCCUUUUGGCCUAUUGUGUAGUUUCCAGAGCAACUCUGUGAUAGUAAAGAUGCGUGAUCUGUGCUUUUCAAAUUCUCUGAAAAAUGUCUUCAAUAUUCCCUUAUACCCAACAGUUUAUAGCUUCACAAAGAAAGACUCUUUAUUCAUUCUAUCUUUUUUUCAUGUCGCUGCACAAAACUCACUUAUUUGAUAAUAUGAAUACAAAUCUGAUUCACCAAGGAGAGAAUUACAACUUCUGCUGGGUAGCCAAGAAUUGAACAUAUCCAACUACCAUCACUAACAUGUCUUUCAAUCCCAGCAACCUUCUUCUUUGUCUCACAAGAUUUUAUGCCAGAUUUCAGCUUGCAAAUCCAUGCAUGGACUGUAAUUUUUCAUAUAUUUAUAGAGCACAUAUCAUUGCCUGCUACGUGCCCUGGCUGGGUUCCAGUUAUUGUAUAAGUGUAUUGUUUGGAGGAUUUUUAUAUGAGCAACCUUUAAAAAAAUAAAUUUUAUUUUUUACAUUUCAUAAACACUUUCUUAUCAUUUAUUAGUUAUUAUUAACAUAAAAAUUACUUAAAACUUCAAAUUUAAUCAUUUAAUACAGUUUCCUAGCAAUUGC